rnacentral:rRNA from 1 species
CCUGACUGCUAUCGGAUUGAUACUAAGCCAUGCUAGUCUUUGUAGUAAUACAAGGCAUACGGCUCAGUAACGCGUAGUCAACCUACCCUAUGGACGGGGAUAAUCUCGGGAAACUGAGCAUAAUACCCGGCAGACCACUUGUCCUGGAAUGGUUAGUGGUUAAAAUGAUUCGUCGCCAUAGGAUGGGACUGCGGCCUAUCAGCUUGUUGGUGAGGUAAUGGCCCACCAAGGCGAUUACAGGUACGGGCUCUGAGAGGAGAGGCCCGGAGAUGGGUACUGAGACAAGGACCCAGGCCCUAUGGGGCGCAGCAGGCGAGAAAACUUUGCAGUGUGCGAAAGCACGACAAGGUUAAUCCGAGUGAUUUCUGCUAAAGGAAUCUUUUGUUAGUUCUAAAAAUACUAGUGAAUAAGGGGUGGGCAAGUUCUGGUGUCAGCCGCCGCGGUAAAACCAGCACCUCAAGUGGUCAGGAGGAUUAUUGGGCCUAAAGCAUCCGUAGCCGGCUCUGUAAGUUUUCGGUUAAAUCCAUGUGCUCAACGCAUGGGCUGCCGAAAAUACUGCAUAGCUAGGGAGUGGGAGAGGUAGACGGUACUCGGUAGGAAGGGGUAAAAUCCUUUGAUCUAUCGAUGACCACCUGUGGCGAAGGCGGUCUACCAGAACACGUUCGACGGUGAGGGAUGAAAGCUGGGGGAGCAAACCGGAUUAGAUACCCGGGUAGUCCCAGCUGUAAACGAUGCAGACUCGAUGAUGCAUUGGCAUAUAGCCAGUGCAGUGUCGCAGGGAAGCCGUUAAGUCUGCCGCCUGGGAAGUACGUACGCAAGUAUGAAACUUAAAGGAAUUGGCGGGGGAGCACCACAAGGGGUGAAGCCUGCGGUUC